GACGAACGCUGGCGGCGUGCUUAACACAUGCAAGUCGAACGGAAAGGCCCUGCUUUUGUGGGGUGCUCGAGUGGCGAACGGGUGAGUAACACGUGAGUAACCUGCCCUUGUCUUUGGGAUAUCUUCAGGAAACUGGGGCUAAUACCGGAUAGGAGCUCCUGCUGCAUGGUGUGGGUUGGAAAGUUUCGGCGGUUGGGGAUGGACUCGCGGCUUAUCAGCUUGUUGGUGGGGUAGUGGCUUACCAAGGGUUUGACGGGUAGCCGGCCUGAGAGGGUGACCGGCCACAUUGGGACUGAGAUACGGCCCAGACUCCUACGGGAGGCAGCAGUGGGGAAUAUUGCACAAUGGGCGGAAGCCUGAUGCAGCAACGCCGCGUGCGGGAUGACGGCCUUCGGGAUGUAAACCGCUUUCGCCUGUGACGAAGCGUGAGUGACGGUAAUGGGUAAAGAAGCACCGGCUAACUACGUG
rnacentral:rRNA from 1 species